AUGUGUGUGCUUGAGACAGAAGCAGUAAUACCUAGGUCUGUGCAAUUUUGUGGGCACGCGGCUGUUGCCAAGCAUAGUGCGACUGGACCCUGAAGCGGCCAUGUUUGCCUGGGCUGGAAACAAAAUAACGUGAAAGCUCGUCGCUAUAACCUUGAAACGGAAAACAAGGAUGCCAUAUGGAAUGAGGUGCAUCACAGGGAGGAAGGUACUUCUUGGGGGCUCACGAACCUACGUGUGUAAGUGUGAGUGCGUGCGCGAUAGGGGAGGGGGAGAGAGAUAGAGAGAAAGCGAUAACGAACAGGGAGAAGGGCGAAAGUUGAGGACUAAGAGAAAUAGCGGUGAGUGUACAGAGAAUAAAAAUGAUUGUCGUAGUGAUCAUGACAGGGGAGUUUCAGUCUGGGAGAGAGAGAAGUGAAGGAUAGCGGGGUCAUAGAAUUGCGCGCUGUUCGAUGGGAUUUGAGGGGGUUGAGGAGUCGCGAAAAGAAUCUCGGGGGAGCGGCGAGAGGGUAGAAUAUGAAUUAGGCGAAGCGGAGAGAGGAAUUAGAAGGACAGAGACGGACGGAGCUGUGAAAGAGAGUGCGGAAAAGCGGCGCGGCGGUGAUGGUGGCGUUAGUGGUGGCGCGGCGGCGGCGAGUGUUGUCGAGCGUCGGAGGGUAAGUUUUCUGCCGUCUGGGAUUCAGGUCAUUAGAGGGUGACGGCUCGGGUGGGAGGGAGUGGGGCAGAAAAAGACGGAGGGGAUGAUCGGUGUUGGGCGUUCAUGCGCGUGGCAACGCCAAGGGUAGCUGAAAUUACGAGCCGGCACUCAGAGUUCAGACGCCGCCUAACGACGCCCAACGCAUCGACCGACGCCCGGUACCCGUCUCCUCCGCCGCCAGCAGCCUGCCGGACGUCAUCUUCGCGUCUCUCUCAGUAAACAAUAACCCCGCGAUUGUGCCUUUGGAUUGAGGUAUUGCUGUCUCAAGUUGGAAUUGAUCGGGCUCAAUCAUUCUUGGCCUUGAUUGACCGUGGAAAAGCGGCACCGUUAUUUCUUGGAUUGCGAAGCAACAUAAGCAGGGAGAGGUACAAAAAUUGGUCAUUACAUUGCUACCAGGGUCCUUAUGAAGGGAUAGACGUUUCCUUCACUUCCAUGCACAAUUUACUCACUUCUAAAAUGUGUCAAGAUGACUUCGCUGUUUAAUGGUCUCUGUCACUCCGAGAUUUUCAGAUCCCCAUAGGUAGGUACCUAAAAUACUUCAGUUGCAUUGCCUUUUUUUUUUAAAAAAAAAAAAAAAAAAAAAAAAAACUAUUAAUAAACUUG